rnacentral:rRNA from 1 species
GCCCAAGAGAUCGGGAUAACACCUGGAAACAGAUGCUAAUACCGGAUAACAACANAUGAUGCCUAUCAACUGUUUAAAAGAUGGUUCUGCUAUCACUCUUGGAUGGACCUGCGGUGCAUUAGCUAGUUGGUAGGGUAACGGCCUACCAAGGCGAUGAUGCAUAGCCGAGUUGAGAGACUGAUCGGCCACAUUGGGACUGAGACACAGCCCAAACUCCUACGGGAGGCAGCAGAA